rnacentral:rRNA from 1 species
UACGGAGGGUGCGAGCGUUGUCCGGAAUCAUUGGGCGUAAAGGGCGCGUAGGUGGCGGGCCAAGCGUGCGGUGAAAGCUCGGGGCUCAACCCCGAGUCGGCCGUGCGAACUGUCUUGCUUGAGCACUGUAGAGGCAGGCGGAAUUCCGGGUGUAGCGGUGGAAUGCGUAGAGAUCCGGAAGAACACCGGUGGCGAAGGCGGCCUGCUGGGCAGUUGCUGACACUGAGGCGCGACAGCGUGGGGAGCAAACAGG